GCAACGCUAAGCUAGGAGAGGCAAAGUUGUCAGGGACGAACUUUGUAAUUGGUGUUCCCCCACUGACGGGUAGGCUUUUCAGGGAGAAGAAGAUUGAUGCAGGUCCAGACGAGACUGACAGGUGACCCUAAAGCUCAGAACUUACUGUGAAUCGCAACGUCUCUUGAUGCAUUUCCAAUGAUGCCAACAGCAAUGCAGGAAUACAGACCACCAUCCGAAGGUGCUAUUUCAUCAAUCACUAAAAC